CCUACGGGAGGCAGCAGUGGGGACUAUUGCACAAUGGGGGAAACCCUGAUGCAGCGACGCCGCGUGAGUGAAGAAGUAAUUCGUUAUGUAAAGCUCUAUCAGCAGGGAAGAAAAUGACGGUACCUGAGUAAGAAGCCCCGGCUAACUACGUGCCAGCAGCCGCGGUAAUACGUAGGGGGCAAGCGUUAUCCGGAUUUACUGGGUGUAAAGGGAGCGUAGACGGCAGUGCAAGUCUGGAGUGAAAGGCGGGGGCUAAACCCCCGGACUGCUCUGGAAACUGUACGGCUGGAGGGCAGGAGAGGUAAGUGGAAGUGGGAGGGUAGCGGGGAAAUGCGUAGAUAGUAGGAGGAACACAAGGGGCGAAGGGGGCAUAAGGGACAGAAACUGACGUUGAGGCUCGAAAGUGGGGGGAGCAAAAAGGAUUAGAGACCCCAGUAGUC
rnacentral:rRNA from 1 species